rnacentral:rRNA from 1 species
AUUGAACGCUGGCGGCAGGCCUAACACAUGCAAGUCGAACGCGAGGCGGACGCGUGUGUAUUAUAUCGGAACGUCCCCCGUAGCGGGGGAUAACUCCGCGAAAGACUAGCUCCUAUCGCACACUACUACCGCGGCCGCCAUCGGAUUAGCUAGCUGGUGGGGUAACGGCUCACCAAGGCGACGAUCCCUAGCUGGUUUGAGAGGACGACCAGCCACACUGGAACUGAGACACGGUCCAGACUCCUACGGGAGGCAGCAGUGGGGAAUUUUGGACAAUGGGAGAAAGCCUGAUGCAGCCAUGCCGCGUGUACGAAGAAGGCCUUCGGGUUGUAAAGUACUUUUGGCGAGGAGGCGUUACCUGCAGAAUAAGCACCGGCUAACUCCGUGCCAGCAGCCGCGGUAAUAC